rnacentral:misc_RNA from 1 species
GAUGAAGAACGUAGCGAAAUGCGAUAAGUAAUGUGAAUUGCAGAAUUCAGUGAAUCAUCGAAUCUUUGAACGCACCUUGCGCCCUUUGGCCAUUCCGAAGGGCAUGCCUGUUUGAGUAUCAUGAACACCUCAACUCUCAUGGCUCGCCAUGAUGAGCUUGGAUUUGGGGGUCUUGCUGGCCUGUGGUCGGCUCCCCUCAAAUGGAUCAGCUUGCCAGUGUUUGGUGGCAUCACAGGUGUGAUAACUAUCUGCGCUUGUGGUUUUCCAUCAGAUAACCUUCAGUGAUGGAGGUUCGCUGGAGCUCAUAAACGUCUCCCCUAAGCGGGGACAGCCCUUUGAAUGUUUGAUCUCAAAUCAGGUAGGACUACCCGCUGAACUUAAGCAUAUCAAUAAGCGGAGGA